rnacentral:rRNA from 1 species
CGCAUCUGUGCAUGCAGCAUAUCAAUAAGCGGAGGAAAAGAAACUAACAAGGAUUCCCUUAGUAACGGCGAGUGAAGCGGGAAGAGCUCAAAUUUGAAAUCUUCAAGGUUUUACCUUGACGAAUUGUAGUUUAAAGAAGUGUUUUCUGUUGAAGUUUUGGUAAAAGUUCUUUGGAAUAGGACAUCAUAGAGGGUGAGAAUCCCGUAUUUGACCAUUAUUUUCAGCUGUGUGAUACACUUUCAAAGAGUCGGAUUGUUUGGGAAUGCAGUCCAAAAUGGGUGGUAAAUUUCAUCUAAAGCUAAAUAUUGGCGAGAGACCGAUAGCGAACAAGUACCGUGAGGGAAAGAUGAAAAGAACUUUGAAAAGAGAGUUAAACAGUACGUGAAAUUGUCAAAAGGGAAGCGUUUGACACCAGUGUUGUUUUCUCGAAAAUCAAUUAAAAAGAGUUUGAUUUUGUUGUGUAUUGACCUUAACAGCUUGCAUUUCAAUUUUCUUGCUUUUUUUAAUGCACUUUUCGUUUAACAAGUCAACAUCAGUUUCUUUUGUUGUAAAAAGGUCAUUGGAAGGUGGCUUUCUUUUCGGAGAAAGUGUUUAUAGCCUUUGACUCCUGCAAUCGGAGAGACUGAGGUCUGCAGCGUAGAUCCUUCGGGGUUAGAUACAUUUGUGCUAAGUUAUAGCUUUUUAUAGACAACUUGUUGACUAUGAUUAGUCUUGUAGCUUACUCGCUUAUGCUAUCUUACCUACGCUUAGGAUGUUGACACACGCGCGUGCUCGACUCUAUACAUGACUCUGUGCAUAUCAAUAAGCGGAGGAAAAGGUCUAAUUACCUACGCUUAGGAUGUUGACGAGAGCUGUCGAUCUCAUCUAUACAUGACUCUGCGCAUAUCAAUAAGCGGAGGAAAAGGCAUACCUACGCUUAGGAUGUUGACGCAUGAGAUAUACGC